rnacentral:lncRNA from 1 species
GCCUAGAUUAACAUCAGUUUUAAUUUCGCAAAAAAAAAAAAGAUAAUUAACAUUUUUAAAAAUGUUCCAAAAUCUGUUCCACCCCUACGUCAGUGCGUCGGGGUGGUUCCCGUGACGUCACACGUCACUUUUCUCUCGGAGGCAUCUGAUUGGAUAUCUGGCCUCCCACGCGGAUCAUCUUUAUGCGCGUGAUUUCCUACCGCCAAAUUCGACGGGUUUUCCCUGAAACGGACGGAUUUAUAUUUUCAUGAGUUGUUGUUUAUCAGAAGUUUUAGCCGUUGCGGACAUUUCAUUUGAGCUCGAGUGUGAAGUAGAUCCGCUAUGAGUGACAAAUGCGCCAAACUGAAACUGAAACGAAAGAAGCCGCCACUCCCGGAGUAUAAAACUUCUUUUAAAAGUGGACAAAAUGUCGGCGUCUGUGAGAGAGACAGUAAAAGAGUGAAAGAAGGAGCUUCGCUGUUAAAGUGCACAGCACAGCAGCCCGUCGGUGGUGCUCAGCAGUGGUGGAGCAGCACCGGACUCGGAGAGGUGGAGCGACUGUGGACGUCCGCACUGAAGUCCGCCAUCCCUAAUCUGGAGCAGGACGUGUGGGAGCCCGUGUCAGACCUCCCUGCGGCCUCAGCACCGAGACCAUCAGACAGAGAUGACACGGGGUGGACGUGGUGCAGUCUUGGCGAAGAAGUGGGCCCCUUUCCUUCUCCAGCCACGGACGUUCACACCUCAAAGGAACCGCUGUGCCCUGCAGAUUCCGGUCCAGGUUCCACUGAAAAUGGGACUGUGCUGAUGGAACACGAGCAGAGGCGUGACCUCUUCCCCAGGCCUGGUGGUCUCGCGCUGCGUCUGGGAAAUGAGCAGCCACAGGAGCCUACUUCUUCAUGGGAGACGACAGGAGGGAGCGUCUCGGCAGACAGGCCCCGGCCCCAAGUAGAGCCGGCCGGCGCCUCGUUAGCUGCCACUGGGAACGAGAGAAUCGCGGACCAGGACAGCGCGGUUGGGGCUGAUGGGAGUUCGAGAGGGGGCGAUAGCUUGGAAAGCUGCCCCAUGUGCUUGAUGAGGUUCCCUGCUGGGUUCAGCCAGAUGGACUGCGACAGCCACCUCGCCAAAUGCUUGUCAGAAAUGAAUGAGGACAUAACGUGGUGA